ACUCCUACGGGGCGCAGCAGUGGGGAAUAUUGCACAAUGGGGGAAACCCUGAUGCAGCGACGCCGCGUGAGUGGAGAAGUAUUUCGGUAUGUAAAGCUCUAUCAGCAGGGAAGAUAAUGACGGUACCUGAGUAAGAAGCCCCGGCUAACUACGUGCCAGCAGCCGCGGUAAUACGUAGGGGGCAAGCGUUAUCCGGAAUUAUUGGGCGUAAAGAGUACGUAGGCGGUUCUUUA
rnacentral:rRNA from 1 species